CAUUCCCAGUUCUUUCUCUUCUCUCUUUUUU
rnacentral:sRNA from 1 species